rnacentral:rRNA from 1 species
AGAUUGAACGCUGGCGGCGUGCUUAACACAUGCAAGUCGAGCGGUAACGCGGGAGCAAUCCUGGCGACGAGUGGCGAACGGGUGAGUAAUGCUUGGGAAUCUGCCCAUUAGUGGGGAACAACCAGCCGAAAGGUUGGCUAAUACCGCAUACGCCCUACGGGGGAAAGCGGGGGAUCGUAAGACCUCGCGCUAAUGGAUGAGCCCAAGUCGGAUUAGCUUGUUGGUAGGGUAACGGCCUACCAAGGCGACAAUCCGUAGCUGGUCUGAGAGGACGACCAGCCACACUGGGACUGAGACACGGCCCAGACUCCUACGGGAGGCAGCAGUGGGGAAUAUUGGACAAUGGGGGCAACCCUGAUCCAGCGACGCCGCGUGUGUGAAGAAGGCCUGCGGGUUGUAAAGCACUUUUAGUGGGGAUGAAAAGCUCAGGGUUAACACCUCUGGGUCUUGACCUAACCACAGAAAAGCACCGGCUAACUCUGCGCCAGCAGCCGC